GACGAACUGUGCAAACGUUAUUCGGAAUCACUGGGCUUAAAGGGUGCGUAGGCGGUCUUGUAAGUAGGGUGUGAAAGCCCCCGGCUCAACCGGGGAACUGCGCUCUAAACUGCGAGGCUUGAGUGAGGUAGGGGUGUGUGGAACUUCCAGUGGAGCGGUGAAAUGUGUUGAUAUUGGAAGGAACGCCGGUGGCGAAAGCGACACACUGGACCUUGUCUGACGCUGAGGCACGAAAGCCAGGGGAGCAAACGGG
rnacentral:rRNA from 1 species